UGCAUUAGAGGCUGCCAGUUGCAGGGUU
rnacentral:piRNA from 1 species